AACGGCCAUACCAUGCUGAAUAUACCGGUUCUCGUUCGAUCACCGAAGUCAAGCAUCAUCAUCGGGCGCGGUCAGUACUCGGGAGGAU